UAUGAUGAACUUAUAUGUGAAUUAAGAAGCGUUCCCACAUCAUUCUACAACAGAUUGCCAUACCCUUUCACAUACCAGAAUGAAACCAGAUUAAGAUUUGCUCCACCAUAAUUGUGCAUGUACCAUUUCUAAAUGAUGGUAUGGUGAUGACACACUUUUGCAGGCAACACACAUUUGUUGGAAUAUCUUGAUACAUAGAUGGAAGAUUUAGGUUUCAUGUUCGUAGGAUUCAAAAUCAUCCUCACUCGGGCCUAUGAAGAUUGUGCAAAAUGUACAAGGAUGCUGAUGACAAGAAUAU
rnacentral:lncRNA from 1 species